GAUGAACGCUGGCGGCGUGCUUAACACAUGCAAGUCGAACGAAGCACCUUGAUUUGCUUCUUCGGAUGAAGAUCUUGGUGACUGAGUGGCGGACGGGUGAGUAACGCGUGGGUAACCUGCCUCAUACAGGGGGAUAACAGUUAGAAAUGACUGCUAAUACCGCAUAAGACCACAGCACCGCAUGGUGCAGGGGUAAAAACUCCGGUGGUAUGAGAUGGACCCGCGUCUGAUUAGGUAGUUGGUGGGGUAACGGCCUACCAAGCCGACGAUCAGUAGCCGACCUGAGAGGGUGACCGGCCACAUUGGGACUGAGACACGGCCCAAACUCCUACGGGAGGCAGCAGUGGGGAAUAUUGCACAAUGGGGGAAACCCUGAUGCAGCGACGCCGCGUGAGCGAUGAAGUAUUUCGGUAUGUAAAGCUCUAUCAGCAGGGAAGAAAAUGACGGUACCUGACGAAGAAGCACCGGCUAAAUACGUG
rnacentral:rRNA from 1 species